UACAGAGGGUGCAAGCGUUAAUCGGAAUUACUGGGCGUAAAGCGUGUGUAGGUGGUUUUCUAAGUCAGGUGUGAAAUCCCCAGGCUCAACCUGGGAACUGCAUUUGAUACUGGAAGACUAGAGUGUGGUAGAGGAUAGUGGAAUUCCCGGUGUAGCGGUGAAAUGCGUAGAUAUCGGGAGGAACAUCAGUGGCGAAGGCGGCUAUCUGGACUAACGACGUGACACUGAGACACGAAAGCGUGGGGAGCAAACAGGGAAUAGAAACCCGUGGUAGUCCAG
rnacentral:rRNA from 1 species